rnacentral:rRNA from 1 species
UCCUACGGGGGGCAGCAGUGGGGAAUAUUGCUCAAUGGGGGAAACCCUGAAGCAGCAACGCCGCGUGAAGGAUGAAGGCCUUCGGGUUGUAAACUUCUUUAAUCGGGGACGAACAAAAUGACGGUACCCGAGGAAUAAGCCACGGCUAACUACGUGCCAGCAGCCGCGGUAAUACGUAGGUGGCAAGCGUUGUCCGGAAUUACUGGGUGUAAAGGGCGUGUAGGUGGGAGAUUAAGUCAGAUGUGAAAGCCCGCAGCUUAACUGCGGUACUGCAUCUGAAACUAGUCUUCUUGAGUGCUGGAGAGGAAAGCGGAAUUCCUAGUGUAGCGGUGAAAUGCGUAGAUAUUAGGAGGAACACCAGUGGCGAAGGCGGCUUUCUGGACAGUAACUGACACUGAGGCGCGAAAGCGUGGGGAGCAAACAGGAUUAGAUACCCUAGUAGUCG